GAUGAAGAACGUAGCGAAAUGCGAUAAGUAAUGUGAAUUGCAGAAUUCAGUGAAUCAUCGAAUCUUUGAACGCACCUUGCGCCCUUUGGCCAUUCCGAAGGGCAUGCCUGUUUGAGUAUCAUGAACACCUCAACUCUUCAUGGUUUUCCGUGAUGAGCUUGGACUUUGGGGGUCUUGCUGGCCUAUGGUCAGCUCCUCUAAAAUAAAUCAGCUUGCCAGUGUUUGGUGGGUAUCACAGGUGUGAUAACUAUCUACGCUUGUGGUUUUCCACCAGGUAACCUUCAGCAGUGGAGGUUCGCUGGAGCUCACAGAUGUGUCUCUCCUCAGUGAGGACAGCUCUUUGAAUGUUUGAUCUCACAUCAGGUAGGACUACCCGCUGAACUUAAGCAUAUCAAUAAGCGGAGGA
rnacentral:misc_RNA from 1 species